rnacentral:rRNA from 1 species
UACGUAGGGUGCAAGCGUUGUCCGGAAUUAUUGGGCGUAAAGAGCUCGUAGGCGGUCUGUCGCGUCGGCUGUGAAAACUCGGGGCUCAACUCCGAGCUUGCAGUCGAUACGGGCAGGCUAGAGUUCGGCAGGGGAGACUGGAAUUCCUGGUGUAGCGGUGAAAUGCGCAGAUAUCAGGAGGAACACCAAUAGCGAAGGCAGCUCGCUGGGACGUGACUGACACUAAGGCGCGAAAGCGUGGGGAGCGAACAGG